GCAGGCAGUGGUUUUGCUCAGUGUCGCAGAGGUAGUAUCUGAGUCUAGAUUUAAACACAGGUCUUCACCAUUCUAAACUAUUCUGAGAAGAGAUUCACAAGCUCCACCAAGACCCCAUUCGACAAGAGAUCAUGACACACGCAGAGGUUAAAAUCCUCUGCUAAUGGAGAUAACGCUACUUUGUAUACCCAUUAGAGGGAGUACAAAGGUCCCUUCCAGCUCUUCCACUCUUAGGUUCUAAAGUCCUGCCCAGCUCUUACAUAAUCAUUUCCAGGCACUAUGAGGAGACACUAAAAAAAAAAACCUUAGCUAAAAGAAUUUAUAGUCAAAUAGAGGAUAUGAAAAACACAUAUAUCAGAGGUGAGGACAGCUACCAAAACAACAAUUGCAGAUGCAAAUUGAUACUAUAUCGCGAGGGAUGACUGAAGCAAAAAUUUGACCAAGGAUACAGCUAUAGUCCAAUUAAGGAAGCAUGAUGUUGGAACCAAGUUUUCCCAGUGGUUAUCAACUAAACACUCUAUCCUACUACCUUUGUUGGUUAAAGAAGGAAAGAUUUAUCUGCUCUUCACAGUCCGAUCAAAGGAGUUACGUACCUCACCCGGGGAAGUGUGCUUCCCAGGGGGAAAGAGUGAGCCAGGAGACACAGAUGAAAUAGCCACAGCUCUCCGGGAAGCUCACGAGGAAGUUGGACUUCAGCCACACCAAGUAGAAGUCAUCUGUCGUCUUGUGCCACAUAUAACCAAGGUUGGUUCCAUGGUAACCCCAGUUGUGGGAUUUAUAGACAGUUCAUUCCAGGCCCAGCCUAAUCCGAGUGAAGUGAGCAAGGUGUUCCUGGUGCCUCUGGAGUAUUUCCUGAGUCCGCACUCGCACUGUUCCUUUCACGUGACUAUUUUUGGUCACCGUCUUCUCAUUCAUUGCUUUAGCUACGUGGAUCCUCAAGAUCAAUCGGCCUAUCAAAUCUGGGGGUUAACAGCAAGGUUUGCACUGCUGACUGCACUCAUUGUUUUGCAAAAGCAACCUUCCUUUGAUGUUGACUAUGACCUCAAUGAUCUCAUGGCAUCAUCUGAGCAACACUUUGUAAAUUUAUACAGAACCGUCAAGAGCAAGUUAUGAAUCUGGAGACAUCCAGGUUCUUGUUCAUGCACCAGACUGAUUUUCAAACAAAGGCUCUUCCUGGCACCAGAUUUGAUGUUUGGGAUAAACUAUCCUAUAGGCUCCUUGAAAGCCUAGGUGGAGAGUUUUAUGGAU